UACGUAGGGGGCAAGCGUUGUCCGGAUUUAUUGGGCGUAAAGAGCGUGUAGGCGGCCAUGUAGGUCCGUUGUGAAAACUCGAGGCUCAACCUCGAGACGCCGGUGGAAACCAUCUAGCUAGAGUCCGGAAGAGGAGAGUGGAAUUCCUGGUGUAGCGGUGAAAUGCGCAGAUAUCAGGAAGAACACCCGUGGCGAAGGCGGCUCUCUGGGACGGUACUGACGCUGAGACGCGAAAGCGUGGGGAGCGAACAGG
rnacentral:rRNA from 1 species